GACGAACGCUGGCGGCGUGCUUAACACAUGCAAGUCGAGCGGUAAGGCCCUUCGGGGUACACGAGCGGCGAACGGGUGAGUAACACGUGGGUGACCUGCCUCUAGCUCUGGGAUAAGCCUGGGAAACUGGGUCUAAUACCGGAUAUGACUCCACGGCGCAUGUUGUGGGGUGGAAAGCCUUGUGUGGCUAGAGAUGGGCCCGCGGCCUAUCAGCUUGUUGGUGGGGUGAUGGCCUACCAAGGCGACGACGGGUAGCCGGCCUGAGAGGGCGACCGGCCACACUGGGACUGAGACACGGCCCAGACUCCUACGGGAGGCAGCAGUGGGGAAUCUUGCGCAAUGGGCGAAAGCCUGACGCAGCGACGCCGCGUGAGGGAUGACGGCCUCGG
rnacentral:rRNA from 1 species